UGGGCGCCUAACUUCAAUGCUUGAAAUGUAAGGACUGAAAUGUAUUCCUCUGUUCUAUGGGCGGGCUCCCAACUUCAACACUUGUAAUGAAAAAGACUGAAAUGUAUUCCUCUCGUUAUACAGGUGGGAGCCUGGCAAGAAAUUUAAAGACUGAAUGUAUUCCUCUGUUAUUAUGGGCGGGAUCCCAAUUUCAACACCUGAAAAGUAAAGACUGAAAUGUAUGCCUCUGUUAUUAUGGGCGGACUCCCAAUUUCAAUACUUGUAAGUAAAAACUGAAUGUAUGCCUCUGUUAUUAUGGGCGGGCUCCCAAUUUCAACACUUGAAAGUAAAGACUGAAAUGUAUUCCUCUCGUUAUACAGGUGGGCGCCUGGAUCAUGGAAUGCAAAUACUAAAAUGUAUUCCUCUCGUUAUACAGGUGGGCGCCUGGAUUUAGGAAAAUGACUCUUUUUUUUUCAAACGUUUUUCUUUUCUUUUCUUUUUUUUUUUGGUAUCUUAGGAGAAAGAUUCAUCAGACUAAGAUUUUGAUCCUAGGAGAAGGUUCAUCAGACUAGGUCUUUUCUUUUUGUUAUCUUAGGAGAAAGAUUCGUCAGACUAAGAUUUUGAUCCUAGGAGAAGGUUCGUCAGACUAGGUCUCUAUCUUAGGAGAAAAAUUCAUCAGACUAAGAUUUU
rnacentral:lncRNA from 1 species